rnacentral:lncRNA from 1 species
AUAUCCGUCUUCGAUACACUAGAUUAAUAUUUAUGAUUUUUCUAAUAUUUAAUAUUUUUGUAGUAUGGUCAUGAUGAAUCUGUGGUCUUCGGUUACAUAAAAACUUUUUUCUUUUUCCCAAAGCUUGUAGAACAAUGCUGAGAAUUUUCUCUGUCCGUGAACUACUAUUUAAUUUUUCUAAUUUACAAUCGGUACAAUUAAAAAAAUAGAAAAUACAACAGGACAGAAGUAGCAUCUGGACGGUGCCUGCUGGGACGCAUGUUAGAUGGAAUAACCGCGAGCCUCGUUUAUAAUAUAUGGUUGGCUGUGAUUUGUACGAUAUUUAAAGCGCGUAGGGAGAGCAACGAGUCGGCAAUGGGCUCAUUAAAUUGGGCCGUAAGCCGCUUUACUCUCGAGCGGGAUGGGCCAUCCAUAUAAAUAAUCCAACGAGUAGUGAUUUUUCGCAUCACUUUUCUUAUUGAGUUAAGCUUUUCACACCCCUCAAAUUUCCUUAUAAAACUGCUCUCCUGAAGAUAUCGCAUCAAAAAUAAAUA